rnacentral:lncRNA from 1 species
UUCAUCUUCUAAUCCAUUAUUCUGUUCUCUCUAAAACUAUAUGGAAAAACCUUUAGGAAAAAUCAAAGUAGAAGACUCUCUAUUCUAAUUCUUUCAAUCUUUUUCAAGAUUAUUCUUCAAGGUAAGUACUUCUCCAUGAAUUUCACUAUUUCCAACUCAAAUUCCUCCAUGUAACUAUGAACCACUAAUUAAAAUCAUAAUUAUUGGUAAUAGAUUUUUCAAAAAACUAAUUCAAAAAUUUCAAGAAAGGCUUUCUUGAUUGUUCUCCUUCAAGCAAGGGUUUCAAGGCUUCUAUCAAUUUUUUUUCAUGAUUCUUCAAAAAACUUGUUCUUCACGUCUGUAAGGCUAUCAUAGUGUUGGACUAGUUCGUCCUCAAGCCAUACAUCUACUUUCAAAUCAGUAAAAGUGAAAACUAGGAUCCUACCCUUAGAUUUGAUUAUUCUUGAGCUAAGCUAAUUUUAAGUUUUUGAAUUCUUGAUUCUUUUGAGAUUCUAUUCCUAAGUAUUGAGUUUAUUUAUUGUUAUUGAGAUCUUUGAGGUUAUUUUUAAUGACUAUAAUUCAACAUGAACUAUAUUUGAGAUAUAAAUCUUGAGAAGUUCUUUCAAAGCCAACAUUUGAGUUUCUAAGGAAGUAAAUAUGAGUUUUGAGAAAAAGUUUAAAAGUUCUAUUUCAUGAAUAUUUUAAGAGUUUCUAAUGUUAUUUUAUUCAUAUAUAUACAUAUACAUAUGUACCUAUGUUAAUUAUUGGACUUUAAAAAAAAGUUUAUAAGUGCAUGUAUUCAAGAAGGUAAACUGUAACAUCUCAGAUUCUAGAUAAACUAAAGUUAAGCUAAGAAAAAACAAGAAUAAUUAAAUAUGGAAAUAAGUAAAGAAAUAUGAAAAAUUUCUAGAUUUCAAAAGUAAGUUUUGGUCAUUUUCAAAAGGCCAUAACUCCCAGCUCAGGAAGAAUUUGGAUGAGUUCUUUAUAUGGAUGGAAAGCUCGUUAAAAUAUCAUCCCAACAGCGCCAAGGUAGUAUGAGUGAGAUAUGACCUUCGUAAGAUGGGAUGUUAAGUAGUGAAAGUUUUGAAAAAUGGAUUUAGUAAAUGUGUUUUUUUCUUAUCCUUAAGGAAAUUAAUUAUUUCGUUUUGGAGUAAUAUGUUGGGGUCUAAACUAUUCUCAUUCAGUUUACGCACUUACAAAACAUUAACUAGGGUUUUGAAAGUAAGAAGAAAAGAGGAGAAUGAAGAAGAAGACGCAAGAACGCCAAGUUUAGCUUCGUGAAUCUUCGUUUGGGGUGAUUCCUAACAAGGUAUGUGGGCUCUUCUAUGUUGGAAUACUUCACCCACACACCAAUUUCAUUCAAAUCAGUCAAGUUCAUGAAUUAACUCAUGUUAGAGGUUGGAAUCUUGAAAGAAAAUUUGACGUUCUUGUUGAUUGGAUUGUUGUUGAUCGCUGUUAGUUAUAAUACAUGUUUUAGGAUUGUUUUCGGGUCUAAAUCAUUGUGAAACAAGUUAAUUAGGGAUGCUAAGUGUUUGGGGGUGGGAUCCAUGGGAGUUUUGGAAGGUUUAGAAAUGAAAAAAAAUGAAGAAAGUCGGAAAACCCGUUGGGGGGAUUUAGUGCGCCGCGUCUCCAAAGCCCCUUAGGACAGAGUCUGUCCGUCAGGAUCUAGUGGGCCGUGCCUCUCAGAGCGCCCGCGCACAGCCUUUGUACGUUCGGGUAUGGCGUUCCGCGCCUCUUAGAGCACAAGGACACCCUGGAGACCCCGUUCUUCCCCUAUCUUUUCAUACUAGUUCCUAAGUGAUGUACCAUUCAUUCCUAGAUGUUUCCAACACUCUUAAGGUAUAUCUAAACUUCAUGAAAUCAUCCAUAAACAUAGUUCAACUCAAGGAAAGUAAGGUCACAGUCAAAAAAGUUAAGAGCCAAGUCUAGAAUUUAAGAAACAAGUAAAACUAAAGUUUCUAAAGUCAAAAAAGUUAAGAGCCCAGUUUAGAAGUUAAGAAAAAAGUAAAACUAAAGUUUCUAAAGUCUUCCACAAAUGUUUUCACUUUGUUUUAAAGACUUAAAAUUCAAGUCAAGCAAAGACUUAAAGUUUCAAGUUAUGUAAAGAGCAAGAGUUGAGUUCAUUUGUCAAAAUCAAUAAGAGAACUAAGUAUUCCCUAAGAGUUAAAGUUUCAAUUCAAGUAAAGAGCAAGAGUUGAGUUCAUUUCUUUAAAAGAUAUAAAGGAACUAAGUAUUCCCUAGAGGUUAAAAAAUAUUUCACAUUUGAGUAAAGAGGGGAAAGAGAUUUUCCAAAAAGAGUUUUGAACUAAAAAGAGGAACAUUGAUUUCCAUAAGGAGCUUUUUAAAUCAAAUGGAUUCAGUAAAUUAUCUCAACCCAAAGGAAGGAAGUCUUAUUAAAAGUAUGAGCUAAAGUACUUGGGAGUAGUAUUGAGCACUGAUCUGGAGAUGUGAGUUCAUACUAACUUAAGUCUCCAUGUAAGCCAUUUCGCUAACAUGGGAAUUGACGUGUCAUACUUUUUAGAUGAUCACGUAAGAGAGCUAGUGGAUCCACUAAGUUGAGUAAGGUCCUAUACCAAUGGCAAUGUGUGGGAUGGUCCUAUUGAAACGUGAGGUACGAUGUUGUAUCAUCACUUAGACUCAUAGUGAUGGUUUUCGGUUAGAGAAACUCCCACAGUGGCGAUAUUAAUUUCUUAUAUAAGUAAAGUUGAGUUUGUUAUUGCAUUUCAUUUAAUGAGCUAAGUUGUUUUCACUGUUUUAUGAGCUUUAUACACACACACAUACAUAUAUAUAUAUAUAUAUAUAUAUAUAUAUAUAUAUAUAUAUAUAUAUAUAUGCAUAUUGCAUGUGAUUUAAACUACUUUAUAUGCAUAUCAUUUGAGUUAAGUAUAUUUGUGAGUUAAAUAACCAAGGUAAGUUCAUCUAAUUCCUCAAGCUUAAGUCAUUUCUUAGAUCUCCAACUCGCAUACUCGUACAUUCAGUGUACUGAUGCCAGUUGGCCUGCAUCAUUUCAUGAUGCAGACGCAGGUACCCAAGAUUAUCACGUAACGCUUCAUUGAUUCAAUAUUGAGCAUUAGAGUUGUGGUGAGCCUCCUUGCAUUCUGGAGGACAUCCUUUAUCAUUUUCUGUAUUAGCUUAGCUUCUAGAAUGUUGUGGGGUCUGUCCCAACAUCCCUCUCUAGAUAGUUUAUAGGCUUCGUAGUCUAUAGAAUUUUAGUUUGGAUUUUUUUCAGUUAUUAAGACUCAAGUGCCAGUUUGGACAAUAUUAUGACAUGACGUAUUUUCCUUUUAUUAUGUUUUUACUCGUGUCAAAGUUGAGGGUUGUUUUCAUCUAAUUUAAGUAGCUAGGCCAAGGGUUCGCUUGAGGGCCAACAAUUGUCUUCUAGUGCUGGUCCCAACCAGGGUAUAGGCUUGGGCAUGACAUAAACAAGAUAUCAUGUUUAGAAAAGUAUUUCAAGUAAUGUAACAAGUCCAUUAUUUGUAAUGGAAUUGAGUACAAAGUUUAUAAAUCUUGAGAAGUUUUUUCAAAGCCAACACUUGAGUUUCUGAGGAAGUAAAUAUAAGUUUUGAGAAAAAGUUUAAAGGUUCUAUUUCAUAAAUAUUUAAGAGUUUUUAAUGUUAUUUUAUUAAUAUAUAUAUACAUAUGUACCUAUGUUAAUUAUUGGACUUCAAAAAUAAGCUCAUAAGUGCAUAUUUUCAAGAAGGUAAACAAGUCUCAUGUUUAGAAAAGUAUUUCAAGUAAUGUAAUAAGUCGAUUACUCUGUAAUGGGUGAAUUGAGCAUAAAUUUAUAUUAACUAUUUUAGGAGUAAUAUUGAGCACCGAGUUGGAUUAGAGUAUUUUAUGAUUUUGAAAUCCCAUUGAACUACAUAGCUAGCGUAGGACAGGAUAACAUUUUGAUUCUUCAUGCGACUCCUCCGUUUCUAAGAAGGAUAAUUAGAUGGAUCCAUAGUCACAAUAUCAUUCUAUAUCCCGACAAAGUAUUAGAUGACCCUUACAACAUGAAGCAAAACGUUGUAUCAUUUCUAGGAUCAUGGUAAUGGAUGUGAGUUAGAGAAACUUCCCACAAGAAAAGUAUAUUAUUUUCAUGUUUCUUUCAUUGUAUAUUUUAUUGUAAUGCUUAAAUGGUUUUCAAUUUAUGUUUAUGUAUUCAUCCAGUUGAGUUGCUUUCUGUCAUUUAGUUUCGUUCUUUGUUUACUUAGCCAAAUUACAUACCCAUACAUUUCAUGUACUGAUGUCAUUCGACUUGCAUCCUUUUAUGAUGCAGAUUUAGAUGUUCAUUAUUAUCAAAAGAAGAUCACUUUACUCUCUAGUUAGCUCUGUUGAGCCUCCUUGUAUUCUAGAAGAUUUCACAAUUACUUUCCACUUAGUGUUUUGAGGUGUCAUGGGUCUUGUACCAACGUCCUUUCUAAUAGUAGUGGUUUCAUAGAUAUACAAUUUUGGAGAGUCUUUUAGUUUCAUAUAUUUUAUUUAAAGCUUAUAUUUCAUACUCACUAUAUCUAGUAAAUUUUUAGAUUCAAUAAACCGUUCUUAAACGUUUCUCUUAAUUGAUGCUUCUGUAGCUUAAGUAGUCUUUUGCUUGUAGUCAACCAAAAUGAGGGUUCACUUAGGAAUCAACAAUUGUUCUUGAGUGCUGGUCACGUCUAGGGAAUAGGUUCGGGUCGUGAAAAACUUGGUAUCAUAGUAUAGAGUUCAAGUGUCCUAGGGUGUCAAUGAAUUUGUUAGUAGGAUCUUCAUUAUUGUUGUGAGGGACAACAUUUUAUAAAUAAGAGAUUAUAGACGUUUAAGAAAAGUUUUCUUCUUUCAUACUCUAAAUCGUGCAAUAGAGCUGUGUCAUAAAGAACUUACUAUGACUCAUGCAUUCCUCUUAUCCAUUUGACUACCCCUCAUACUCAAGGUAGUUGACAAUCAAAGUCCGGAUCCUUAUGGAUGAGUUUCUUUUCGAUAAAGUCUUUAGAAAAGUCAAGAGACCUCAUAGGGUCUUGAGAGAAGCUUGUAAGUGAGCUUUAGUGUGGAGAUUCGAAAGAAUACACUUAUAGUUUAUCUGCAUCUUGCAUUCAAGAUAAAAGUGAGAUGUAUUUCCACACUUUUCCCCCUGAACCUCGUUUUAGUUGAGACCCUUAUGAGGAGAUAUGUUUUAGAACAUAGGUUGUAUUUUCGCCCGAAGAGAUAGUACGAGUUACAAUGUUAUAAGUAGUAGUAGUAAAAGUGGACUAAGUUAGAUUAAUGAAUGCAAACGUAUAGUAAUUACAAAAAAAGAUAAUGAUGAGGCAAACUAUGUUGUUGUAGUCAUGCACUCAGUAUGUUAUUAAUGAUGAGUUUUCCAUAGGUAGACUAAGAAGUGAUGAGUUUGUGUAAAUUUCAUGAUAGAAGGUAGAGUAAGAGUUACUAGUAUGAGUCAGUUAGAGUAUAUACUUUAAUCAAAAGGUUUUUUUCAACGGAACAUUGUGUUAGUGAAGGCCAAAUAUAGGUGUUGAAUAAAAGAGUAGAGUAUUCAUGAGGUGAUAGGUCUAAUCUAGGCUUAUGAUUUUUAAGGGAGAACCCAUAAUAUUCAUAGGUCUAAAAAACUAAUUAGACAAUGAUGUAUAUCUAAUGAAUAAAUACUACUUAUGUUGAAAUGAAAUGUGGCGGUAAAUUAUAAGUAUGAAGACUAAGAGGUAAAGAUUAACUAUUUUUCAUGAGGUCUUAGUAGGUCUGUGUUUCUUAAUUUUUUUAGUAGUUGUAAGUUAGAAUAGCUAGAGAGCAAUCAUGUUGACAUCCAGAAUUAGUAAUAAACAUAAAGCUUGAAUUUGAGAUGAGAGUCAUGGUAAAAAAUGGAAAAAUGAGGGUUUUAAUGUUAGUUUUGAGAUUUGAUAUGAUAAACUUGACAUAGAGUAGGAGAGUAGUUAAUAGGUUAGUGAUAAUAAAGGUGAGUGGUACACGUAUGAUAUUCUAACAUUGAGGUAAGAUUACUGAAGUGUGGCUAAGUCAUUAGAGUAACAAGAGUAUUAAGAGGUGUACCCGAGGUUGUACGUAACCAGAUGAAGUUCUAAUUAUGUUUCAUUUUUUCAUAUAUGAGUAGAUAAUAUAUUCGAGUCGUCAAUGUGGAAUAGGCUGGUGUAAGCAUUUUUUUCCUUAAGACUUAAAUGAAGCAGUCUGACAAGCCAAUGAAAAGAGGUUAAUGGAAGCAUCUUAUAAAGAGGUCUUAGAAGGAGUCUUACUACAUGCUUAUUGAGAGUUCAAUAACCAUAAGAUAAGUCUUUCCUGUGUAUUACUGUUAAGAAAUGUAGACCUUUUUAGAAAUAAUGGAAUAGAUCCAUAGCUUUAAAAUGACAACCUCAGACAUAACGGGGGAUAUUAUGACAUGAGAAAUCAAUUCAAGUGUUGAGGAUGAGAGAGUGAUGUUUUUCGAAUGAGUUUUAUAGGUCCAUCAAUACCUUCAUAUACUACGUGUUCCUCAAGGUUAAAUUAUUACAACAUGUUGUUAAUGUUUCUAAUAUAAAAUUUGUGUCUAUGACUUAUAAUUAUACACUUCAUAGAGUUUCACAUCUAUGCUCAGCUUCCAGAAUGAGGGACAAAAACUUUAGCCCAUUAACCUUGAGAUUAAUCCAUAAAGUUAUGGAUAUCAGCCUCAUUAUAUGAACUUAUUCAUAUUAGUAUUCAAGUUUCACAGUAUAUCUAGCCUUACAAAUUCAUGAUUCACUUUCAGUGUCUAGCAACAUAAUUUUGUGUCAUGCAUAUUUUUUUUAUAAGACAUGUGCUUAUGGUCUUUCGCCCUAAAGCUCUCUCAGUGAUCCUUUUUAGUUGAGGGUGUUGUUGUUGAUAGUAGUUGUAUGAAUGAUAGACAAGGGGAUUCAUAUUUCUUAUUUUGUUAGGGAUGAUGUGUUUAUUCCAUCUAAGUUUAUAAAUAUGAAGGAAGAAGGAGAAAAGGUUUUACGAUGAGCAAUGAGUCAUUUCCUGGUAAUAAUACAUGAAAGCUUAGUUGGUAGAAAUGAUGAGAAGUUCUUAGAAAGUGGGUUAGCAGGAUUCUAUAGAGUGGUUAUGGUUUUAAGCUUGAAUGUGGUGUUUUAAACCUGUGGAUAGUACUUCAUAUGUUAGGUGUCUUGUGAUAUGAGCUCAAAGUUAGUUGAAUGUAACGAUAAGGAGUAGUGUUCCUGAGAUGGGAUUUUCCACAGAGGUAUAGAACCCGAAGCAUGUGAUUUAGAUAAAAACAAUAACCAUAUAUUAAGUACUUGGUGAUUCCGAGUUAGAGUUGAAUAAAGUAAGAGUAACCCAUUUCCAUUCUCAGACCAUCUGUUAUUCGAGGAUGAAUGAUCCCAAGGGGAGAUGUUGUAACACCCAGAAAAUUUCUUAGUUAAGUCUUGAACCAUUCUUCAUUCACUUGUAGGAUCAUGAUUGGUGAUUCAUAAGGUAUUUAUAUGUGUAAUUGUAAAUUCUUUAUUCUGUGAAUGAUUUGGAUAUGGAUUAAGGUCACUAGAAUCCCUAGCACAAAGUAGAGUUGAAAGUUCCGUUUAUCGAUUACGUUUUGAUGUAAGAUUUUACUUGGGACAACUUCAAACGACAAUAUCUCCUAGAUUAUAAGGAGUUACAUGACCCACCACCUAUCAAAUUAAAGGUAUUUGACUCUAAUUUCCAAUUCCACAAGUUUUGCGUUAAUUAAAUUUCGGAGUGAGAAGGUAAGACCAUUUUAGUAACUCAUACAGUUCAGUGAUGAAUUAGCCAACAGGAAAACAUUUAAAAGAGUCCUUUUGCCUUUUUACCUCCAACGAAAUCCUAGAAAUUUUUUGACUGAUUGUAAGGCAAAAACAUUUAAAAGUGUCCUUUUGCCUUUUUACCUGCAACAAAAUCCUAGACAUUUUUUGACUGAUCGUAAGGCUAAAAAUCAGAUAUUUAUCUUUUAAUUCAUCAUUCUCUUCUCUUUCAAACCCUGGGGCAAAAUCGUAUAGAAGAUUCCAUCCAAAAUUCUUUUAAUCCUUUUCAAGAUUUUUGUUCAAGGUAAGUACUUCUCCAACAAUUUUGUCAUCGCCAACGCAAAUUUCUCCAUAAAAUUAUGAAUCAAUAAUGUAAAUCAUAAUUCUCAGUCAUAGAGAUUUGAAGAAAUUAAUUCAAGAUUCUAAAGAAAGGUUUUCUUGAUUGUUCUCCUUCAAGCUACGGUUUCAAGUCUUUUAAUCAAGUUCUUUUUCAAGAUUCUUCAAGAUUAUUGAAGAACCUUGUUCUUCCAGCUAUGUAAGACUAUCAUAGUGUUGAGCUUUAUUCCUUCUUACGCAAUACAUCUACUUUCAAAUAAGUAAAAGUGAAAUCUAAGAUUCUACCCUAAGAUUUGAGUAAUUUUGAGCUAAGUUGAUUUUGAGUUAUUGAAUUCUUGAUUCUUUUAAAAUUCUAUUCCUUUGUAUUGCAUUUCAAUAUUUUUAUUGUGCCCCUUGAAUUGAUUUUUUCAUGUCUAUAAUAUAGUAUGAAUCCUUUUUUGAGUUAUAAAUCUUGAGAAGUUUUUUCACAGCUAAUGCUUGAUUUUUAAACAAAUUUUUUGAGGAAGUAAAGAAUAGUCUUGAGAAUAAGAUUAAAGGUUCUAUUUCAUAUAUAUAUAUAUAUAUAUAUAUACUUCAAAGAUAAGUUCAUAUGUGAAUGUUUUCAAGAAGGUAAACAAGUGUCAUAUUUUGAAAAGUAUUUCAAGUAAUGUAAGAAUUACAUUCUUUGUAAUGUGUGAAUUGAGCACAAAGUUAUACUUAUUAUUUUGGGAGUAGUAUAGAGAACCGAGUUGGGUUAGAGUCUUUGAUGAUUCAGAGUUCCAUAGAGGUGCGUAACUACCGUAGAAUAAGAUAACAUUGAUUCUCCAUGCGAUUCCUCAAUGCGUCUGAGAAGGCUAAUUAGAUGGAUCCAUAGUCAUGAUAUCAUCCUAUACCUCAAAAAAGUAUAAUAUGGCCUGGCAACAUCAUGCAAAACGUUGUAUCAUUGCUAGGCUCAUGGUAAUGGUUGUCGGUUAGAGAAAUUUUCCACCAGUUAAGUAUAUUAAUUUCGUGUUGGUUUGAUUGUAUAUUAAAUUGUAAAGCUCAAAUGAGUUUCAAUUCAUGUUCAUGAAUUGAUUCAGUUGAGUUUCUUUCAGUCAUUUACUUUAGUUAUUUGCUUACUCAACCAUUUUAAAUACUCGUAUAUUUCAUGUACUAAUUGCAUUUAACGUGCAUCUUUUUAUGAUGUAGAUAUAGAUGUUCAUAAUUAUCAACAGGGCUGUUUUGAGAUCACUGUACACUCCAGUUAGCUUCUUCAUAAUUACUUUCGAGUUAGUAGUUUUGAGAUGUUGCAGGUCUUAUCCUGACAUCCUUUGUUAAUAGUACAAGCUUCAUAGAAAUAUAGUUUUGGAAAUUGUUUUAGUUUAAGAUAUUUUAUAUAAAAUUUAUGUUUCAUAAUAAGUAUAUCGAAUUAUGUUUUUGUAUUCAAUAAAACGUUUUUGACGUUUCUUUCAGUUUGAUACUUAUGUAUGCUCAAGUUAGUCUUGUGCUUUUAGUUAGAGAGGAUGAAGGUCCUCUUAGAAACCAAGAAUUGUUCUUUAAUGUUCGCCACAUCUAGGGAGUAGGCUCAUGUCAAAACAGGUUAGUCCCACCUUGACACUUUCAAUAUUGAUGACAUUGAUGUUUAGGGAAUGGUGCAUAACAUAAAGUUUGAGUUCUUCUCAAAGCGACCUAUUCUGCUGGGUCAGGUGAUAAAUCUAGAAAUAUUUCAGUCUUCUCACUGAGCUGUAAGUACCUUUUUUCUUUCUCAAUAGUUAUCUAUGUUGCUUCGUCUCUCUAGGAUUGAAUUUUAUGAAGACCGGUUCGACUGAUCUAUGUUAAUCUUCGGAUCUUUGCGUACAGUGGUGAGCGGGAAACCCUAGUGUUAGGAAAUCACAUUAUUGUUAAUGAUUAAUAGUUUAAAUAUGUAUUUGGUUCUAAAUUUUCUGGUGCUAGUAUGUUUAUUGACAAACACAUUACUCGUCAUAACGACACCACAACUAUGAGAACACAUCAACCGUUUCAAAAUCCAUACUCCUCUUCUUGGUAACUAAUUCUUUCAUGAACGUCGGAUAGCCUAGAAUUUUUAGCAACACUUCCCUUGAAGGAAGAUAUAUUGACAGACAGUUGAAAACAAAGAAAUUUUUUCUGGAACUUUGCAUCCUUAUCCUUUUUUUAAUCUUUAGGGGAAUGGUAUGUUAACUUUGGGCAGUGGUUUCGUUGAUCUCGAAGAAGAAACAACCCCCUCAUUUUAUUUUUUCAAUUCUUCGGUGAUGAAGUUUUUGGACUUCAUCAAUUUCUUUGGGUGUUUCAUUUGUUGGGUUUCACCAAAUCAAUCUACAUCGAUGUCAUAAUUUUGUCUUUACUAGUGUGCGACUUACCAUCAACUUUCACGUCACCACCCACUUAUUUUUCCACUCCGAGUAAACAUCACUAUGCAUAUGUCAUGAUUUACCUUUGAAUUCACGAUCAUAUCAUUUACAUGACACUCUUCUUCUUUGAAAUCUAAUUAGGAUGGAAGUUGACUCGUCUGAGAUUCAAGUUGCGUGACGGAGUCCAAGUGAGAUUUUACCAUCUUACUCAAGGAUGACAAAUUCGUAUAUAUUACUUUAAGAAUUUUAUCGAAUCCGUCUACUUUAUUCACAAUACGACACAGCAAAUCCUUGACCCGAAGGCUUCAAGAAUAUCCCUAGAGUUUGGAAUAUCUUCAGUCUGCACAUAUCAAGCAUCAUCAUCAUCGUCUCUCCUCCAAUAUCCGUUCCAUUUAGACUAAUCUAGAUUGUGACUCUCCAUCCGUCCUCAAUUAAUUAUAAUCCAACCUCGAUUUCCGCCGACCUUAAAGAACUCGAAUGAGAACCCUCAUCUAGUCUUGAUGUACCUUUUUUUAAAAAAUGUCACCUAAGCUUGAUUCAUAGCUCUAUAAACACCCCCAUGACGUGCUUUGUCAACAACUUUAUUUGAGACAUCAUUUUGUUUCACGACCUAGGGGUACUUCUAGAUGUAACGAGGAAUAUAAGACAUCGGUGGCCUCAUACAAGAGGGUACUUAGCAUAUCAUCACAUGAAGUAAUAGAAAAGGUGUGGAGAUUUAAUACAUUUCAAUACAGUUAAAAUUUUAAUAAAACAAAGUGGAAGUCUAAUACAAUUGUCUCAAACCAUCUAAUCAAAAUGAAUAAAUCUUGGGAAACAACCCAUAUAAUAGUUCAAAGAUGAAAUGAAGUACAUAAAAACAGUGGUGUUCAAAUCCUCGAAUGCUAUGAGGACUCACUAAUUCUUCCAUUCAUGAUCUACUAUGGUCCUAGCUACGAAUGUGAGAAUCGACGUCAUCAAAUACAACAUUUAAUAAGAAUGUAGGCAAGAGUAUGUGUUAGUACAAUAAAGUACUAAAUAUGAUAGAUGACAUAAUCAACAUAACAUAAUGGUCUGUCAAUAUAAACCAUAAACAUAGACAACGCACAUAUCGUCAUCACAAUAAAAAAGGAAUACUGCUCAUGCAACCUUACUCAUCCAUAGUCAAGACUUGGGUCAUCCACCUCUAGUCAACUCACCUCACGGAAGGCAUAUCAAGCAACAAUCAAAGCUAUUCAUUUAUCAUAAUAUAGUCCACAUUAUUCAUACUUACAUUUAAAUACAUGUGGAUUUGCCUUCUUGCCUUGCUUAUAAAGGCUAAUGGGUAAUCGCCUCUUGCAUUACUUACUUUAAGAUUAUGGUUACUCGCCUCCACAAUCAUAUCAUAUGACACGAAUAAUUUCCUCCACAUCAUUUCAUAAGGAUCAUGGGUACUCGCUUCAAUGUACAUUCCUCAUAAUAGGAAAUACAAGGCAUUUGCCUCUUUUUCAAUUCAAAAGAGUAUGGAAAAUCACUUUAUAUCCUUCUCAUACGGAGUUCAAGGGUAGUCUCCUCUAGAAUCAUCAAUUAUAUAGUCAACUAGUCUCGAUUCAUUUAAGGUGAGCAAUCCUUUCAAUCUAGAACUAUUCAUGUUAGAAAGUUUUUCACAUUCAUACAUUCAUCCUUAAGUAAUUCAUGUGGGAAGUAUACCUUCAUCCACAAUAAUAUCAAUUACCAACAAUUAAUAUCUUAAAAUUUACUCUCAAAGCUCUAGAUCUCAUGAUCAUUAUCAGUGCUUUAUUCUCAAGGAAUUCUAAUAAUAAUUUAUCAAUCCUAUAAGAAUAAGCCUAAAUCCAUAAAGUUUCCCUUCAUGACAUCAACCCAACUAUAUCAAUUCUAGGCUAGAGUUAGGGAAUAGGCAUGGGUACAUGUAUUAUCAUGCGAAAAACAUUUAAUUCUAUCAAUUAAAUCAUGAACAAUCAUAAUCCACACAAUAGGAUCAAUAUUCAUCCUAACCCACAACAUUAGAAGAAACCCUUACUAGAGUGGGGAAAUUCUUCACCAAAUUAUGUAAAUUCUAGAAAACUUAAUGGAUGAAAAGACAUCUUACCUUGGUUAAAGAGCCCUCACAAUAUUGGAGAUUGGAAACUUAAAUUUCACUUAGCGUCAAUUUCUUCCUUCAUCUUCUAAUUACUAGAGAGAAUAUUUGAGAGAAGUUAUGGGGAUUUCUUUUUGGAAUUGAGAGAUUGAUGGGGGAUUUUUGGGAGUUGAAAAAAAUUAUAUAGAUGUUCUAGAUUUACGCAAAAUGACACCACAUUGAUUUCAUUAAAACUGGAAAAGACCCAACCGCCUUUAAAUUUAACCACUAGGUGACUAUUCACGAACCCAAUCGACUGACUGUGGUCUGACCCACGACUUGUCUUGGUAAGCGGUGACUGGUUAUAAGAGAAUGGGUAAUUUUAAGGAAUAAACCAUGGACCAUACCACAGAACGUGGUCUGACCUAUGAUUUUUAGGUCAGCCCGUUUGUACCUGAAAGUUCCCCAAAAUUUGCUUCACUACCCCUUUUUCGGGUAAGGGGUUUUACACUAGGCCUCUUACUUAGCCCUAUUUUAUCCUUGUGAGGUGUUACAUUAUCUCUCCUUUGGAAACAUUCGUUCUCAAAAGAAAAUUUUAGACACCUUUUGGAAAUAAAAGCUCAACACUAGCAUCCCAUCAUGCAUGCAAUAUUUCUAAAUGCACACAAACAAAGAGGAACUUCAUCUCCAAUCAAAACAUACUCAAUGCAUCACAAGGGGAGGUAGGAACUACAUCUAAAAACUCAUUGUGCAUGAAAUUUUCAACUUUGCUCAUUUACUAGGAAGAACUACCUUCUCCAACCUUAAAGCAUGCUCAACACAAUCUUUUGGAGCUCACAUGCAAUUCAAUCUCAAAAAUCAUAUCUAAUGUAUAUUCAUUGAUUCAUUUCAUGAAUUCUAUAGGCAACUCGUACUCAAUGCAAUACAACAUGAGGGAAAUCAAUUAUAAAAAUUCAUUUUAUUUCAAAACACAAGUUUUCAUGAAUAUGCUUAACUUAGAGGAGUCAUGGGAUCAUAUAGAAAAAUAUGACUUCAAAUCACAUAAAAACGAAGAUGAACCUCAUUACUUCAAUAUAAAGUAGAAUGAAAGAGAUGAGAAUAUCGAGAUCUCAUAUCGACCUCGGCCUCCCAAGUAGAACCCUUAACUAAGUGGUUUCUCCACAACACAGCUUCCUUAUUUCUCAACAGUUUAACUUGUCGGUCUAAGAUCUCAAAUAAAAUUCUUUAACACCCAAUCUUGAAGGAAUAUUAUGGAUGUCAGAUCUUCAACACACUUCUUAAGCAUAGAGACAAGGAAAACCGGAUGCACUGAUGCCAACUCUUUAGGAAAAUCAAGCUCAUAACAAACUUACCAAUAUGUCUCAAAUUGGAUACAUGCCUAUGUGUUGGGGACUUAGUUUCCCUUUCUUCUCAAAUCUCAUCACACCCUUGAUUGGCGAGAUUUUCAAAUAGUCCUAAUCACUAACCUCAAAUUCAAGGUCUUCUUUUAUAACAUUGGCUUAGGAAUUUUGUCGUCUUUGCCAAUUCUCAACCUCUAUUUAAUAACCUGGAUAUUCUCUAUAGACUCAUGAACUAAUAUUCGGGUCCAAUCAAGGAAACUUUAUUAACUUCAAACCACCCUAUAGGAUAUUUACUGCUCCUACCAUAAAGAUCUUCAAAGAAGGCCAUACAAAUACUAGAAUGAUAGAUAUUAUAGGUGAACUCUAUCAAUGGAAAGUUAUCAUCCGAACCUUUCUGGAAAUCGAUAGUAGGUGCUCUCGACAUAUCCUUUAAUGUAUGGAUUGUUUUCUCCGCUUGCCCAUCGGUUUGUGGGCAAAAAGUCAUGGUAACCUUCACUUUAUGCCAAAACUCUUUUGGAAUGACUUUUGAUGUUUUCUAUUGAAUGCGUAAUCAAUGAAACAACUUCUAAUGCAAGUUUCUUACGAUCACACAAUAGUAUACUAACCCAACCAAGGGUUGGGAUUAUUGCUUAGAGAGAGGUUGUGAGAACUAAUAGAAAAAUAAAAUUUAGUUCAUAUUAGUCAUUGCUAAAGACAUUGUUGAAUAAAAACAUAUUAAGUCUAAAGGGUUGACACAACCAUCAAAUAUGGGGGUUUUUCACAAGUAGGUAAAAAUAAGAAAAAUAUAAAAUAGUUCUAAUAUAGGAAGCGAGAUUAUUGGGAUGUGAUAGAGAUACGAGAUAGAAUACUCUAUUGGGUACAUGCUUUUAAUGAUAAACUUGUUGAACAUUUCUAACUAGCAUAGACUAUAGCGGAGGUAAGUUCUCUCUCGAGCAACUUACCCUGAAUAAAAUGGGUUCCUCUCGUACACCCAUUUGUCGCAUGAAAAGUAGCCUCCGCCUUAUCCCACUAACUCUCUUGAACUGAGUGUGUGGAAAAAGUACUAGGUUUCACUCUCUCAAGAUGAAACUCAUGUCGACCCAAUUACACCAGCCAUCAACUUAGUAGUCUUGGUUUUACGACCUCUCUCUCGAACAAGUCGAAAAGAUAGAGGUGGAACUGUAUUUGAAACUACAUCCCCAUUAAUUUCAUACACAACUACGAAGAGAAAUAUAAUUUUAACAACAAAUAAACCAUCAACAAUCAAGACCCAACAUAUAAUCUAACCCAUAUUCACAAAAUCACACUCCAAGAAUUGAGGUUUUAUCUAGACAUGUAAAGGAUAUAGGAAUUUGUACCAAAAUGGGUUUGACUUCAAAUGGGUAUGAAGGUUUAAGUCUUGUUACAUGCCAAAAGUGAAGAAUCAAGAGAUCGAAGUCAAAUUUUUUGGAGAUGAAACCCUUUGAAUCUUCAAGUUCUUUAAAACCCUUUUCAAAUAUAAAACUCCAAAAAAAAGUUAAAAUUCUAUUCAAUACUAUGAAAAGCAAUAUAAUGAUAAAAACAUCAUUCUAAGUCAAAAAUCCUAAUGAAUAUUGAUGGCUUUAAAAGAUUUGUGCUGCAGCAGCCCACUCGACACAAUUAGUCGGGAUGGCAGAUCAAUUCAGCGAUUCUCUCUUUGAUAGCUUCAUUUCUGUCUUGUGAUAUCCUACAACAUCUUCAUGUUUUGGAUCAUUGCACUACAUAGUACUACUUUGCGAAACUACUCGAUGACGUUCCAUUUGUUCUUUUUCUCCACCGAAUUCAUAUUUUCCUUGUUAGCUCAGCAUUCCAGAACAAAAUGCCAUCUUGAGACCUGUUGGUGACUCGCCAAGUGAACUCGGCAGUCCUCAGGCCUCAUUUCUUGAUUCUUUUCAGCCUUUGUGUUCCUUUUGGUCAAAUGGUGUCAAUGCUUUGCCUUAAAUUCAAAAUUGCUGAAACUCAAGGUUAUUCAUCAGUUGUUAAGACAAAAUAUGAAUUUAAGGACACUAAAUCUAUAAAAAUGUAUCCCUCAUUAGAUGAUUCCAAUUUUUGGACUCAUUAACACCCUGAGUUAAACUUUUUCUUGUCCUCAUGUAAAACUCAAGUUCAUCAGUUCAAAAAGAGAUAUGUAAACUAGUUCUAGACAAGACUCAAAAAGGUCUUGUUAAGGUAGAAACGGGGAUAAGUGUCUAGGUAUGUGUAUGGUCAUUUAUUCUCAAUGACUUUUAUCCUCAUGAGGUGUGGUGCUCAGAACACGUCCUCUUUUAUUCUUUCAUUCUUUUCUCUAGUGCUCACAAGUCUUCCCUUUAUUCACUUUCCAUGGAUUGUUCAAGGGAACUCCAUUUCUUUUUGUAUUUUCAUACUUUAUUCCACGACUUUCUAUUUUUAUUAUUUUCUUCUCUUUUUCUGUUUCUUUUUUUUUUCAUAUGGAGGGGUUCAAUUUUCUCAACAUCAUAGGUUUAGGGAGACUAUUUUUUCACUCUUUGACUAGCCUUCUGUUUUAACAACACUCCCAACUAAGGAUUUUAGCCUAAGUUGGCUAUUCAAUCAACCCAAAUAAAUAGGAUUAUGGGUAUAGAAUUAAGAGAGGUCAUACUUUUAUCAAGUUUCAUCCAAAGAAAGGUAAAGCUCAAGGGGUGUUCAAAAUAAUAUUCGCAUACUCACAAGGUAAGCCAUAAAAAGAGGUAUAUGUCAAAUUGGUUCACAAUCUUUCAACGCUACCUAAGAUGAUAUAAUUAGUUCAUGUCACUUUGUUUACCGGACCAAUAAGAAAAUUCUAGGUAUAAUCAUGAAUGGUUCAUAGUAAAGUUAGCACAGAAGGCAUUGCACUAAAUGUCAAAUAAGAUUCUACACUUUUGCAAGUGUGCAAUAUUCAUUGCAAGAAACUUGAUUUGACUAUUGGCUAAUCACAACGAGAUGCAAAGAGUUCUGAUAUUGUCUAUACAACUUUGUUUGGCAUCGUUUUAGCCUCACAUUCAUGUUCAUUCGAUUCUAAGAACUACUCAAGUCAUGCAUAUUGAUAAAACUGAGAGUCAAAUUUGCCUAAGAAUAGCCACAUGUUAUGUCCAAACAAGAGGUGGCAGAUAGACAAAAUAUUUUUCAAACGGGGUCAAAAGAUUUUCAAUUUGAAUGAAAAUGGAGUCCCAAUCUCAAACAUUUGCAAACACAAUAUAAAAGACAUUUGUCCUCAAACUCAAAUAAUCACAUUAUUCAUAAUAUAAUAUAAAGAAAUACAGAGAGGGAGGUAAAGAGGGAAUCCUGUCUAAGUGGUUGCUCCGUCCAUCUAGACAUUUUUGCCUAGAGUGACUUCAGAAGAACCAGCUUCGACUGAACGACAACAAAUACAUUUUCCAAGGAAGGUUGUGCAACAACAUCUAUCAUAAUUUCUUUAGUCUCAGUGACGUCCUCAUCUGAAUCAUCCAUACAUUUCUUGAGCAUUCCUUGUUUGUAUCUACCUGAUGAGUUCUCAAAUUCGGCUCAUCUAGGGCCUUACUUUAAAGUAAAUAGUAUCCUCGAUUAUUCAUUUUAUCUCAAUAUCUGAUAAAAACUCCUAAGCUUCAUGCAUUUGAGAGCAUGAAAAUUUUUGCACAAAAUGGACAAAAAGAGCCAAAGAUGCAAAGGUGCGCAUUGCCAAGAACACUUGAAGAUCCACCGUAGAUCGAAGUUUCGCUUUCUGUUACAACAAGUGAUACCUUAAGGAAGUCGAUCAAAAGGCGACAAAAAAGAGCAGCAAGUGCUUCACCACUAAGUUCUGCAAAGCAGAAGAUUGUCGGCCAUUGAUCCAAAACACAUAGACAAGGAAGGAAAUGUGCAAGCAGAGAUGAAAUGAACGAAGGGCGAUUCGCUGAAGCCCUCAGUGAAUCACGAUUAACUACACUGAUUCACCAAUACAAUUCUGAAGUCUAUAAUUACUGAACUCUUUUAUUAUUUAGAAAAAAAUAAAAUUAGAGAGUGAAACAAUUACCCUUGAUAUUUUAUUCUAGAAACUUUGUUCUUAAGUUCUCUCUAAAUUUUGGAGUGGGUUUUUGUGAAAGCUUGAAGAAAGAAGCUAUUCUUCAAAUUUUGAAAGCGGGUCUUCCCCAUUUACCUUCCUUUUCUACUUUUAAGGUUUGAUAUCUUAUACCCGUUUGAUUUCUUUAUCAUUUAAAGUAUAUUUGAUUAUUACUUGAUGUGUGACUAAAAAUUCCCAUUCUUGGGAUGUUAUUUAACAAUUAUGGGUUGAUUAAUUUAUUGUGUCUUGCUUGCUUGUAGCUUAGAUUUCAUUUUAAUGGUGAUUUCUCCUAGCCUUUAUGGUUUAAUCUAAUGGGUUUGUAGUUUAAAAUACAAAAUCACCCAUGUGUUUUCAGCUUGUUCGAGAGAGAGGUUGUGAAACUAAGACAACUAGAAUGAUCUCCUAAGGAGUGGUUCGACAUGAGGUUCAUCCCGACAGGGUAAACCCUAGUCCAAUAUCUAAGCACUCCCGUCGAAAGAGAGAGUGUGGAUAAGUCCUAGACUGGAUAGUUUAGACGAACGGGUGUCCGAGAAGAACCCAUUUGAUAUGGGUAAGGUGCACAAAAGGGAACUUUCUUUCACUUAAAUCUUAGCUUAGUCAUCAUUGUCUUGAGAAAUUCGCUAUUGAAAGCAUGUAUCCACCACUUUUAUCUUCACACGUAGCAAUCACACCCCAAUAACUCUCUCCUAUGCAAUGUGUUUUGGGGGUAACUCAAUGAAAGGGUUAGGUAGAGAAGCAUAUGGUUUAUUUCAUGAUUCUUAUUAGUUAGUUUCUUAUAUUAUGUGGCGGGUGGAGGGUUGACUGAUGAUGCCUAUUAGUACGUAUUUUUGUACUGAUAGUACUCUUGCAAUGUCCUUUGAUAUAGUCUGGUUGCAAGAUUCGGUGAUGUUUCCUUAGGUGAAGUGAAGAAUUUCCAGCAACCUCUACUUAUCCUUCCGUUUGGUGGGAGAUAUGUCAUGUAUUUUAUUGUCCAUUGUAUCCUUAAUAGCUCAUGUACCCAUUUAGACUUAAUCCUAAGGGUUUUAAAAUUACUUUACAAGUCUUAAGUAGUUCUUUGAAAAUGAUUCCCUCUAUAAAGAUUUGAUCUCUAUUAUGUCUGUCUUGCGUUAAUUUUCUUUAUGUUUUAACCUUUGGGGUAUGAGGGUUCUCUUACUUAGGGGUUAGAGUAGGUGCCCACAUGUACCGGUGGGUUGGGUUGUAAGAUGGAUAAAACUGAAACACCACUAUUCAUCCCUUCCCAGAUCAUAUAUGAACCCUCAAUCUUGAUUAAUAGUUUAUUCAACUACUUAUCAUAUAAUGUCUUCAUCGAAUCAUGUGGAAUGAACAGUUGCUUAUAUAUUACAUCAUCACAUUCACUUUUAUACCACCUCUCAUCAUUAUUCUCGAUGCAACCUUUAUUUCAAGCAAGCCUUAGAUAAUUUGGCCGAAAUCCCUUAGAUUUUCCACAUUUCAUGUACACCCCGUCAUCAUAUACACACCGGGAUAUUUUAUUUAUUGAUUUUUUCUAUGCCUAUAGUAACACGGUCGGCUUGCAUUUCAAGUUGAGUGAUUAAUUAAGCAGUGUGUUUCACGCUCUUGGUUUUCUCUACUUGUUCCUUAAAUUCCCUAAAAUGUGGAAGUGACACAUAUUCUUCACUCGUAUACCAAAUUUUUUUGAUUUUAAUCAUCUCAUCAAGCCAUCUUGAUGCUUUAAUGAAUGGUUUCUUAACUAUACCGCCUCGAAUAUGAUUUUCAACGAAUCCCUUAUUCACAACAUCAAGACAUUGGUAGGAAAUAUUGCAAUAAUAACUCAUCCGGGAAACCGUUUCUAGGUCAUUUUGACAACACCAUCUUAGAACGUAUCCAUGCUAUAUGAGUGGUCUCUAUAUUCAUAAUUCCUUAGUUUUGAAUGUAUUUCUUCAAUUUUAUUACAUUAGACGGAGGAAAGAACAUCUCAAGGAAAGAUUCAAUAACUCUCCCCAUGAUGUGAUAGACUUUCUCUGAAACUCAAUCAACCACCUAGUUGCCUUCCCAAUUAGCGAAAAGGGGAGUAACCUUAUACACAUCGACUCUUGUAAAAUAACUUCAGUAGAAAAAAUGUUAGACACACUAAAAAAUUACAGUGAUUCUCAUUAGGAUGUUUGUGCUCGAUACCCCCAAGUAAUCCUCCCGCUUUUAUAAGCUGCAGGCUUGUUACAACAAAUGUGAUCCUUCUGCACUAGCGGCAAACAAAUUUCUACCAAUUCACUGGUGGUAUGAGAUACAACCUUAUCAUCUCUUCUAACAUCAUUGUCAAGCCUACGGAAAAUAGAAUCGUCACCACUAUGGCAUAUUCAUUGGUUCACCUAGUCGAUUGCAUAAUUAGAGAGCAAAGCAUAAGGUUGUUCAACUACAAAAUAAAUUAGUAUAGAAGGUACUCCUAAAAAUUAAUCCUAACUACAUUCCCCAGCAACAACGCCUCUUUCGAUAGUGCCCAAAUGUUCUUACUGAACCAAUAAAUUGCAAUUCCACCAUGGAUUGGUACGAAGUUAAGGAUCCAAUUCGUGAAUUAAAUUGCAAUUCCACCAAAUUGAACAACACAGUUUCAAUAAAACGAUUACCACUAUUUCAACAAGCAAAGAUUUACAAAAUGAGUUUAGUCCAGGGGUGUGGGGAUUACAUGUUGAUCUCACUAGGGGUAUUGUGGAACUUCUCGAUCAACAAUAUAAUCGAAGAAAGCCUAAGUUAUCUUAAAUGAUUCUAGUCUUCUUUCAAUCUCAUAACAUCCUUUCAUAGAAUCUCCCGCCAGUCUCAUAUACAUGAUAUUCUAAUCAACUUAUAACCUUGAAUUUACAAUCAAACUAAGAUAAAUUGAAAACGUCAAAUAUAUUAACCACUCAUAUCUAUCUUAUGCAAGAAUCCAUACAAGAUCGAAGCUAAAAUCAAGUUGGCCACCUUACCUUAUGAAUUAAUCACUCAGCAAUAUUUUGAAUUUAUGAUUAACAUCUAUAAAACAAAGGAAUUUAACAAAUCCACUAAUUUAAAGUAACACCCAACCCCAUAAUCAUACCCUAAGAGAUUGAAGGCUUAGCCCCAGACCACAAAAUGACUAGAAGUUAUACCGUUCAUGAAAUUAGCCAUGGGUAACAUGUAUUGGAGCAAUUACAAGCAAACCCAGUUCGAAUUCAACUUCUAUUUAACUAAUUAAAGAUUAUAACUUCAAAAUUCCAAGGGAUAAAUAAUUUUUUUACUUAAUAUGAAGUGUUUCUCCCUCUAGAAUAUUCAUAAUUUUCUCUCUAAUUUUGAAAUCCAUUUUUCUUUUUCCAUUGAGAUAUUUAUAGUUUUCCAAAAUUUGGCUGAUAACUAGCAUGCGCUUCUCACUAAGUUACAUUAGUCAUCCUCGUCGACAUCAUUUGGUGAGUCACCAAUUGUUCUUCAACUUUCCUUUUUCUCACUGAAGGAUUCAUGUUUUAGACCAUCAUACGACGAUCCUAUUCAAGUGUACUUUUCUUAUUCGGCAAUUUUUUGGUCAUCACCUUGGUUCGCCCUUUGAAAUUCCAUAUUAUCAUCCAUAAAUGUCAAAUUAAGAGAUGUUUACCCUAUUCACUUCUUUCACACUGUUUCUUCAUAACUUUGCCCACCAGUCUUGAGAAAAAAUCCUGGUGCACUAUCAAUUAGGUGAUGUCUUGUUUGGUAGAUGAUUCACCUUUCUUUUUUGGUGAUCAUCCGCAUAGUUUUACACUUCUUGAUUUCCUUUAUAAUUCUUUCAAACGUUCUUCCUUGCCUUGUCCUUUUGCCGUUAUAGCUGCAACUCAUCGAGAUAUCCUAAGAACACUACAUAAUUAGGCAUUGAAGAUACAUUAUUGAGCUUAAUUUGUCUCAAAUGAGUGCAAAUCUACCUAUCCUUGUAUAUUAUUGUACGAACUAGACACAUUAAAUGCUUCAAUUCCCUUUUUUGUGCAGUACUCACCAAGAUUUUUUUUUUGCAGAAUGUAAAUGAUAGCUAGGAAGAAGACGUAACUAAGACUAUAAAUUCAGAAAGUACACCAGCACCACAUGGGUACAAAAGAGACCUACAUAUAGCUAUCGAGACUUACUCUGGAGGUGCAGAUCUUAAAAAAAUACUACACUCAUACCUGCUUUGUAAUGAUUCCUAAGCUUGAAUAUCCUUAAAAUUUGAUAGACCAUACAUCUAUCAACCUCUCUAAUAUGACUAGAAAAGUCAUUUGUAACAAUGCCAGACUCAACCCAAUUAUCUAUAAGCAUGUCUCUAAUAAUAAAUUUUAUUUUAUAAAGGAUAGAUCAAUAACUCAUGAAAAUCAAUGAAAAC